UGGUAAUUGACUCAUAAUCAUGUUGAAAGCUCAACUCCAAGCACCAGAUGUUACCAAAAUGUACACACAAAAACAUAACUUGUCCAUCAAAAUAAGAUGAAACAUUCAGCCAAUGAUUGGCAAACAAAUUUUUCUUUCAGCAUCAUUGUGAUGAAAGAAAUAGCAAACAAUAAAUAGAAUAAUACAUAAAGCUAUAUUUUAUUGAACAAUGAAAAGAAAAAUAAAAACUCGUCUACAAUGAUAGAAAUCCUCAUCUAGCAAUAGGCCAAAGCCAUACAUCCUAAGAACUAACAGUAGUUAAACUAGCCUCCACAUCAGAAAAUUAUAUCCUCAUCCUUCUCCAUUGAUGGAGACAACAAGUUGUGGGCUGAUUUUAGCGAUAUCCCCUUCUGUAGAGAAAUUUUCUCUGCAAACUGUUCCUCGGCAAACUGCUUGGCAGCAGCAAGCUGUUUCUCAAUUUCCCUCUUCUUAUAACCUUGUAUCUUCUUCAACCUGAAGAAAUCUUCCCUUUCAAGCUCAUCCAACUCCCCUUUAAUGUAACUAAUGGUAUUUUCCAAUCUUGGCUUCACAACGUUCUCCAGUGCAUUGACCCUACGAUUAGUGGUCUUGAUCGCCUCAUCAAGUGUUAAAAAUGAUGUCUGCAGUGAAGCAAGCUCAACAAGAAGCUCAAUUGCUUUGACAUAAGCAGCACGGCAGGCCUGGACCUGUUGGCCACCUCGGGCCAAUCCUGUGAGGUCAUUCCUGGUCCCACCAUCUGUGAAAUACUCGAACUUAGGAAGCUUCACACCAGCAACAUUCUCCUGUCGAGAUCGAACCUUAAGAGAUGCAUUUUGGACAUUCUCAAGGACAACAUGCUUGAUGUUUUCACCGGCAACAUACUUUGCUUCAGUUAGGGCAAAUGAAGCGGAUUUCAUGAUCUCUCCCAUUGAUUCUUUUGUCGUGACAAUCUUCUUAAGAAUUUGACGGAACUGCACGGUCAAAGCAUCACUCUUCUUCUUGAGAAGAGCAUGACCCCUUGUAGCACCAACAAGGCGAGCUUUAACAACACCAAGCAUCGUAACAGUCGGAACUACAUUCAAGCGCUGGCCUUGCCCUGACAUAUUUCAGAAAAUCUAAACCACGGAUAGAGAGAGAGAGCGAGAGAGUCAGUCAAUUACACGAGAAAAGUAUAGCUUCCUACUUGGAUAGAAAGAUUAAUUGAUUCAGCAAAACAAAAUCACUAUUACUUAGAACAAAAAAAAUUAGUAAUGUCAACAUGAUGACAAAGAAAUGCUAAACCACUACCUUAUUCAUGUACACAACUAAUUGAAUCUUUUAGCAUAACUAAGACUCCUUCUUUUGAAAUUUUCACAUUCCAGGUUUCUCAUUUGAACAUCAAUUUGAAGACAAGCAAUUGAUUCUUGGAUCAUCACCCAUAAACCUUAGUUAACUUCUUCCUAGAGUUUUAACAAAGUCAUCAGAGUAAACAUGUAUAUAAAGAAAAUAGCCAUUAUGCUGUAUUUUAUUACCAAUAUAUCUUUUUUCACAGAAUCAUUAUAUAAAGCACUAAGAAACGAAUAUAAGAGCAAUGUACAUGAAACUAAGAUGAUAAAUGACCGGUUCAAACCCAAAAUAAGAAUGUAUCCAAGAUUUCAAGCUCUAUGAAAUAAAACUUGUAACAUCUAAACUAAAUCCGUAUGGAAAUGCAGAAAAGCCACCAAUUCAAAACUUCUAUUUAAUCCUAUUUUAUUUAGUCCGAAAAAUCCAAAAUGUAGCUUGAUACUGCACAACAUUUCAAAACAAGAAUAGUGCUGAACAGUCUUGUAUAGCUAAAAUGCAUAGAAACACACAUUAUAUUUUUUGACAGCCAAAUCUGCCCAUUUAUCCAUAAUAGUUUGCACACAACAAACAAAAUAAGAUUAUGAUUAGAAAAACAUGAAGAUUUUCAAAAUCUAGAGUUGCAAAUAAACUAAGCUGUUUGUGAACAACUUGGAAACUCAACUUAGUAAAGGCGACUCAGAGACUCAAAUUAGUGAAGGUUUUUUUGGAGCUCAUUUGAUAUAUGAGCUCAGCUUGUUUAGGCCCGUAUGCGUCUUGUUUAAGUUUGUCUACAAGCUCAUAAAAAAUGGCUCAUUUAUAGCUUGUUUUAAGGCUUAAUCACAAUAAAUUUAUAAAUACUAAUAUUUGAAGAAGUCUAACUAAUUACCUAAUAUAAAGACUUCUAAUGGAGUUUUGAUUUUCUGAGUUAUAAACAAAACAAAUUAUUCAUGAACGCUCAACAAGGAUCCACUCAUUAAGACUUUAAUAAUAAAACAGCUAAGAAUAAGCCAAACCAGGCUUGACUUAGUUAAAGUCAUUUACAAUUCGAGCCAAGCCCGAACCAAGCAAAUUGUGGCUCGUAUGCAGCCAAUAUCAAAAGCAUACGUUCAUGAAACACAUAAAUCUAAUAUAAACCAAUGCCUACAAUGAGUAUUAAACACAGGUAUUUUUCAUUUUGUGAUGUUCCAAAUUGUUACUAUCAUUUUAGCCAGAAAAGAUUCUACAACAGCAAUGCAAAAAAGUAACUCUUUACAAGUAAUCCAUGAAGCACAAAUAAGUAACUGGAAAAAUCUACCAAACAACCAAAAUAGCUUAAAAAGGAAUGCGCCACUGUUUCUCAAUUAUGAAAAAAAAAUCGAAAUAAAAAUUCUGAAUAUAGAAAUAC
rnacentral:misc_RNA from 1 species